rnacentral:tRNA from 1 species
AGAGCUGUAGCUCAGUGGCAGAGCACUUGCCUAGCAUGUAUGAGGCCCUGGGUUUGAUCCUCAGCACCACAU